CCUACGGGUGGCAGCAGUGGGGAAUAUUGCACAAUGGGGGGAACCCUGAUGCAGCGACGCCGCGAGAGUGAAGGAGUAUUUCGGUAUGUAAAGCUCUAUCAGCAGGGAAGAAAAUGACGGUACCUGACAAAGAAGCCCCGGCUAACUACGUGCCAGCAGCCGCGUAAAUACGAAGGGGGCAAGCGUUAUCGGGAUUUACGGGGUGUAAGGGGGGGCAGUCCGCUGUGGAAGUCUGGGGGGAAAGGCGGGGGCCCAACCCCCGGACUGCUCUGGAAUCUGUAAAGCUGGAGUGCAGGAGAGGUAAGCGGAAUUCCUAGUGUAGCGGUGAAAUGCGUAGAUAUUAGGAGGAACACCAGUGGCGAAGGCGGCUUACUGGACUGCAACUGACGUUGAGGCUCGAAAGCGUAGGGAGCAAACAGGAUUAGAUACCCCAGUAGUC
rnacentral:rRNA from 1 species